UAUAGCAAAAAGACUGAAAUUUCCUUUAAAUUUUAGUGUAUCUAGAUUUGACUCUUGUCAGGGAUUCUGACUUGGACGUCUACCAUUAAUUCUGAAAAUUGAAUCUCUGCAAGUCUGUGACAGGUUAUGUCGUAUUCACUAAGAAAAUACAUAUUCCUCUGAGUUCUGAGGAGAAAAAAGUUAAUUGUACUUGCCCUGCAAAUUCUCAUGUGGACACUAAAAAUAUCACCAUGAAUGCUUUCUCAAGGAGCGAGUGCCGUGUGCCCAGCGAACCGCUGUCAGGGCGGGAAGGUGGAGGCUGUCCAGGGUACAGACAGCUAAGGGUGCUAUUCCAAGGCAGCAGCUCCCAGAUGAGAUGGGACCCGUCCAUCCUCAGCAAAGGCAUCUGUAGGCAGGUCACCUCAGCUGAAUGACCACAAAGCCUGGGGGCAAUGUAGAAUGUGCAGGGGAAGUGAGACCAAGCACCAUCAACGCUUCUCUGGGUACUGAACAUCCCCAUCUCUGCCUGAGGUUCUCUCCAGCUCCACCUCACGCCCCACCACGAACACUCAGCCACAGGAUGGAUAUGAGCUGCAGAGAUGAAGUCUCUCUACUGGCUGGAUCAGCAAAGAGACCCCACGGUUCCUUUUCCGCUUCAGAGAGAUCUGAAGUCUGGGUGGUUCCCCACCCCGUCUGUACCUGGACCGGCUGUGGGGGUCGUACGAGCUGCUCCUGGAUCUGCUCCUGCUGGAUGUCCUGAUAGGAAUCACAUGAGGGACCAUCAUUUUGUGGGUCAGGACAUGUUAUAUCAAAAAUCAAGACACAUAUUUGCCAUCAAGGAAAAAAACAAUGAAAUCCAGUA